AUAACUAUAUAAAUAUAGCUGAUUUCUAUCAAAUAGCUCAUUUAGCUUUAAACACCAUGAAACUUCUAAUCAUAUGUGCAAUAUUUCUUACAUACACAGCGAGUGGUGAAAAAGAUGAAACACAUAAAGAAGUAGUUUUUGUUUCACCCGUUUUAUCUGCAAAAAGUGGUAGGGCAAGAGAGACGGAAACAGCCAAGGAUUUUCCUUUGUUGAAGCUGUUUUCAUCGAGCAAUAUGACUGUGAUGAUAAUGAAUAAAGAAGAAUCUUCUCAGCCGAUAUACCAUGUAAAGAGACUUGAAGAUAAAGAAAAACGAUAAAUAAUACAAUUCUUCAUUGAAGCAUCGCAAUAUAUUAUGUUAAAUAUAAUUUGUUUGUAAAAAAUUAAACAAUAAUAUGCUAUGGUGGGUACUAUAUAGAUAGGUAGCUAUGUAGAUACAUAUGUUUUCACUUAGUCAUUGUGUUUCUGGUAUACAUUUAUAAUAAACAAGAAAUAUAACAAACUUACCAACAACAGACUAUGGUAGGUACUGCUGGAUACUAUGUAGAUAAAUAUAAUUUAUAAUAAGAUUCAUUGUGUUUCUGGUAUACAUUUAUAAUAAACAACAAAUAUAACAAACUUACCAACAACAGACUAUGGUAGGUACUGCUGGAUACUAUGUAGAUAAAUAUAAUUUAUAAUAAGAUUCAUUGUGUUUCUGGUAUACAUUUAUAAUAAACAACAAAUAUAACAAACUUACCAACAACAGACUAUGGAAGGUACUGCUGGAUACUAUGUAGAUAAAUAUAAUUUAUAAUAAGAUUCAUUGUGUUUCUGGUAUACAUUUAUAAUAAACAACAAAUAUAACAAACUUACCAACAACAGACUAUGGUAGGUACUGCUGGAUACUAUGUAGAUAAGUAUAAUUUAUAAUAAGAUUCAUUGUGUUUCUUGAAUACAUUUAUAAUAAACAACAAAUUUAACAAACUUACCAACAACGACUAUGGUAGGUACUGCUGGAUACUAUGUAGAUAAAAAUAAUUUUUAAUAAGAUUCAUUGUGUUUCUUGAAUAUAUUUAUAAUAAACAACAAAUGUAAUAAACUUUUAAUAUUAUGCUAUGGUAGUUUCUGCUGAAUACUAUGUACAUUAAUAUAAUUUUCAAUAAGAUUCAUUGUUUUUCUUGUAUACAUUUAUAAUAAACAACAAAUGUAACAAACUUAUAAUAUUUGGCUAUGGUAGGUUCUGCUGAAUACUUUGUACAUUAAUAUAAUUUUCAAUAAGAUUCAUUGUUUUUCUUGUAUACAUUUAUAAUAAACAACAAAUGUAACAAACUUAUAAUAUUUGGCUAUGGUAGGUUCUGCUGAAUACUUUGUACAUUAAUAUAAUUUUCAAUAAGA